rnacentral:rRNA from 1 species
CGGCGUGCUUAACACAUGCAAGUCGAACGAGAAGAGAUGAGAAGCUUGCUUCUAUUGAUUCGAGUGGCAAACGGGUGAGUAACGCGUAAGCAACCUGCCCUUCAGAUGGGGACAACAGCUGGAAACAGGUGCUAAUACCGGAUAAUAAAGCAGAUCGCAUGAUCAGCUUUUGAAAGGCGGCGUAAGCUGUCGCUAAGGGAUGGCCCCGCGGUGCAUUAGCUAGUUGGUAAGGUAACGGCUUACCAAGGCGACGAUGCAUAGCCGAGUUGAGAGACUGAUCGGCCACAUUGGGACUGAGACACGGCCCAAACUCCUACGGGAGGCAGCAGUAGGGAAUCUUCCACAAUGGACGCAAGUCUGAUGGAGCAACGCCGCGUGAGUGAAGAAGGUUUUCGGAUCGUAAAGCUCUGUUGUUGGUGAAGAAGGAUAGAGGUAGUAACUGGCCUUUAUUUGACGGUAAUCAACCAGAAAGUCACGGCUAACUACGUG